UACAGAGGGUGCAAGCGUUGUUCGGAAUUACUGGGCGUAAAGGGCUCGUAGGCGGCCAACUAAGUCAGACGUGAAAUCCCUCGGCUUAACCGGGGAACUGCGUCUGAUACUGGAUGGCUAGAGUUUGGGAGAGGGAUGCGGAAUUCCAGGUGUAGCGGUGAAAUGCGUAGAUAUCUGGAGGAACACCGGUGGCGAAGGCGGCAUCCUGGACCAACACUGACGCUGAGGAGCGAAAGCCAGGGGGGCAAACGGG
rnacentral:rRNA from 1 species